rnacentral:rRNA from 1 species
UACGUAGGGUGCAAGCGUUAAUCGGCAUUACUGGGCGUAAAGCGUGCGCAGGCGGUUGUGCAAGACAGAUGUGAAAUCCCCGGGCUUAACCUGGGAAUGGCAUUUGUGACUGCACGGCUAGAGUGUGUCAGAGGGGGGUAGAAUUCCACGUGUAGCAGUGAAAUGCGUAGAUAUGUGGAGGAAUACCGAUGGCGAAGGCAGCCCCCUGGGAUAACACUGACGCUCAUGCACGAAAGCGUGGGGAGCAAACAGG